UUUACAGUGUUAGAGGUCAGAUGCUUCUCUGCUAAUCAGAUCCUUGCUCAUUGUGAGCAGGCAGUUGUGCAGGCUGUAAGUUAAUUAUGUAAAUCACUUCCAGCAUUUCUAGUGCAUUAAUGUAAGGUGUGUAACUUUAAUAUCAUCAAUAAGAAGCAGGAUCUGAUGGGUUUGGUCUUUGGAACUAACAAAUUAAAGGCCAGCCAUCUUCAGUUGCUUCAAUUUGGAACAGAUAAAAAGUUAUUUGUAAGCAUUUGGAAAAUAACAAGAGGAGUAGCAGUUACCAUGGAUUUAUCAUGUAGAAACCGCAAUCAGAUUUCUUUCUAUGAUAGGCUAACAAGACUCAUAAAUAAGCGAGAAGCAGUAGAUAUCAGAUAUCUGGACUCCAGUGAAAUUUUUGUCUCAUGAUGCAUUCUCAUAAACUCAAUAGCUGAAAUUCCUACAGGGUCAGUACAAAUCUGGUUUCAUAAAUUUUCAAGGCAGAAAGGUGGCUACAGGGAUCUAAUCUAGUUUGUUCAAUGUUUUCACUAACAGCACAGAUGAUGGAAUAGAAAAUACACGUAUGAAAUUUGCUGAUAGUACAAAACUGUGAAGGCUAUAGUUAUAAUGGAGGAUGGGAUUCAAAUUCAACACAAACCUGACGACCAGAGUGAUGUUUUGAGGACUGAAACUCAACAGGGACCAGCACAAAGUUGUACACUAAGGCAUGAAUGAUCAGGCGCACAGAUACAAGCUGAGGAGGAGCUGGUGAGCAGUUUUCCCAAAAGGAUCUGGAAAGUAAAAUGGAUCACAACACGCCUUCCAUCACCUGGGGCAGAAAUGGCAGUUGCAUGGAUAUGGCUGGAAUAGACCUUUAUCCUGAUGUAGAUCCCUGCGCUGUCGCUGUUUGGAGCAGAGACCACAACCAGAAGUCUAGAGAUUUUCAGUCUCUUUAUAGUUUACUCUACAGAGUUGGCAGGCUAGAAAUAUUUCUAAAAAGGGACUGAGGAAAAGCAGAUACAUUCUCCCACACUAACUUCAAAACAUCUAGUCAGCUGGUGCAAUGCACAGAAGCAUCAAAAAAUACAGAAUAUUCCACAGCCAGCUGUGAUGGGGACAGGGGAGGCAGGAGGGGCUGUAAUUCAGGUGGCAGCUCCCAGCACAACGAUCUGGCACUCACAACCUCCAGCAGAUGCAGCUGACCUCUGAAGAAGACAAAUGACAUCCUUUGAUCCUGGCUUGUUGCUGUUUCUAGUCUUUCUGCCUUCUUGUAAAGAUGAACCCAUCACAAUGAAAAUGUUACGGAAAUUACAAGCUGCCAGAACUAUCUUGCAAAGCUUUCAAGGGCAAUAUAGGUUAGUAUAUUUGUCUAGAAAUACUAAACAUUUUUUUGUAUUUAAAUUUUUCCUAAUUAUCAAACUAUCAAAUGAUCUUUUACUAAAUACAUUCAGCUUAAGAAUUUCUAAGGUUGUGAAACCCAAACCAUAUUAGAAAAGUUACAAUAUGCAGAAUUUCAUAAGUACAGAAAUGUUAGAUCGUUCCUUAAUCAGGCACCUCCGAUUCAGCCCUAUUUACCACCAGACACUGGAAGAGUAAACUGCAAUUUUUUGUGAUUUCCUGAGCCUGUAAUUCCAGUGCUUCCUACAUUUCAACCUUAUGAACAGAAUUAGGCUCUCUGCAUUCGGAGUAACCUAGGUGCUUAGUUCUAAACAGGUAAUCCAGUUAUAAAACGCUUAUGGUUAUUUGGUCAGAGGUCACCAAAGUACAACUCUAAAUGUGAAGAAAAGUGGGGGAAGCUGCAUGAGACCCGUGUAACCUAGACAAGAAGUAAUCUGACUGGCAGACGACAGAGGCCUGGUUUAUAUUUAAAAGUUUUGCCAAUUUAGCAAUACCAGGACUGUAACAACAUUCACCAAUCAAUACAGCUCUACUGGCAAAAACCUGCAGAUGUACUUUCAACGGCAAAAUAUCAUUUGCAGUGCUGAUAUAAGCAAUGCAUAGUUAUUAAAGGAAUUUAAAUUGGAUCCUGUCUCUAGGAGGGUUUACCAGCUCUUCUGCUGUAGCUACAUUGGCAAACUUUCUAGUCAAGGCUGUUCUACAAAUCAGCUACUGAAGAGUGCAAGGCUGAUGACAGGAGAGCUGCUUUGGAGGCCUGACGAGAGCGUAAAGCUUUUCGCCCUUUGGGAGGCCCACAGAGAAACCCUGUCUGCUUCCUUAAGUGAAUCUCGGCUGGAGAACAAAGGACUUCAGCUCAUAUACAGAGGGGUAAUUUACAUCUCAUUAAACCAAUAUUUAAAAAUCUA